GGAAAAGGCAGACUGCAAACAGAUAAUCCACUGCUCCUUGCCCACCCCUUCCUCUGGAUCCCAUGUGGCUGCCUGGUCUACCAUCAUGGCAGAAUGCGAGUCUCUACAGAACUGAACACCCAUCAUGGGGAGGCUGCUGUGAUGACUCAGGAAAUGCUUCCUCCUUCAUAAUAUUGAACCCAGCUUCAUGAUGUUUAAUAGGAUUACUAUCUUGCUCCAUAACAGAGUCUUUUCAGCGUGGAAAAAUGUCUUCGAUAACAGCAUGAAGUGUCUCAGACAGAUAACCAACAUGAAGAAUGCCACAUAACAAAGGCACCAAAUAACAAAAUAAUCUGUUUUUCCACUCAGAUGCCUUCUAAUGUUGCUCACACUUUUAUGAGAGCACAACAACGUCCAUCAUAAAUAAUGCAAAGGCUUGGCAUGCCCUGAGCUCUCUGUCACCAGCCAGGACUGAAUUGCAGAGUAAAAAUAUUUCAUUUGGGGUGCUCUGUACACAGCCAUAUAUUUGUCAAGGUCUUAUAACUCUUAGGACUCCGUGAAUAUAAUCAGUCCUGCAUCCUCUCACUGACUGAGGAUAUCAAAGUGUAUGUGAAAAGGCAGGUCUGACAAUGCCCUUAUUCUCUUUAUUGUGGUAGCGGUGUUUUUGCCACUCUAGUUAAGGGUCUGCCAGCAGUUUUAUUGGGUACCACGGUUGCAAGAGUUUCUAAGUUGGCUCUGAAAAAAAAAGUUCUUUUAAGAUAAAACUUGUCAUGCUAGGAUACAUUUUUUUUAACUGAAAUUCUACAAUUUGAUAUGGCCAUUUGAAAAGUGACAGCAUUUUAUGAUUCUUAAAACCCACUUGGCUCAUUAGAUUACACUGUUACAAGAGGUCCUAAACCAUCUCACCCUUUAUCAAAAAUAAGGUAUGGAGCAGCAGAAGCAACUCAUCUCAGCCCCUCUUCCCCACGGAGAUGUUCUGAAUGGAUCACUCUCAGAAAAAGCACUGAAUCUUAGGACUGAGAUAGAACAGGGAUGUUCCUGUCAUCCAUUUUCCUGCUUAUGGUUGGAG
rnacentral:lncRNA from 1 species